CCUCUCAAAGUCUGAAGAAAUGCUUGAAUAUUGUCCAUUAGCAGCUACCUGUAGUUUCUCCUGGGAAGCCUCUGUGGAAUCUGUUUCCUUAGGGCUGUCCGGUCUGAUCUCCAAUCUUUCGGUUCUUGUGGGGGCAUAUGGAAUCCCAUAAUCUAGCUCCGGUGUCGAGUCAAUUGAGUGAUGCUUCUUUGCCAUUUCUUCAAGCCCUGCUACAAAUUCACGGAAGCUAUUACCCAUCUCAGGAUCAUAGUCUUUCAGGCUACGUGUAUCGAUAGAGGUAGAACUCCCCGAAUCAAAGGAAAUGCUUGAAGUGUUGGGUCUUCCAGGUGAAGCUUUUGUCUGCAUAACCCUCCAGGCAGUAAAACAUUCUGGGCUCAUAUAUUCUCUUCUGAAGGAGGGUGACUGUUGUUGUUCUGCUGUGUGCAUGCUCAUAAGAUUCCUGUGAUUCUUCAGCUUCAACUGAUGGGUCCAUCUCCAAAUCCGAAUUCUUAAAAGUUAGCUCAUAUGUCUCAGGCUUAGCAUUCCCACACAACUCUACAUCUAUUGUUUUCAAAGAUAAGUUAACAUUUUCCGUUUCUGUAGGUGUGCUAAUCUCUAUGUCUUCAUUCUCGGCUUUCUCAUUACCUAUAGAAGAGUUAAAGCUCUGUUCGUAUUCCAGAGCUGAUAAGGGUUCUUCCUUUCUACGUGUGCUAAUAAUCUCCAUGACUUCAUUCUCGGCUUUCUCAUCACCUGUAGAAGAGUUAUAGCUUUGUUCGUGUUCCGGAGCUGAUAAAAUUUCUUCCUUUCUUGAAGAGUUAUAGCUUAUUUCGUAUUCCAGAGCUGAUAGAGUUUCUUCGAUUCCAGGUGAGAGAACCUCAGAGAUAGCUCUCUUAUCAACAAUGAAUUCUAAUAAGUCAUGGAUUUCAACUGUUGCUGGUUGUCUAAUACUCUGCUCAGCUUCAGGUUCAAUGCAUCUAACUUCUUUGCAUGCAUCUUCAAGUCUUUCGUCGGUUAUUUGAACCAACUCCUCCCAGCCAUCAUACAGGUUCUCCAAGAUCUGUUGAAUCAUAGCUUCUUCUUCGGAAAUCGGCAUCAAAAUCCAUGGAGCUAAACAUGGAUUGUUCGUCCAUCCUAGAAGACCGCUCUUCUGCUGUUGAUUUAACAAAGAAUAGAAGUCAGAGUCUCCAGAAGCAGAUCCUAGAUUCUUCAACUCAUUCUCCAUUCGAGCCAGUUCUCUUUGCAAUUGCCUCACCAAAGCCUUCUCAGACACAACCAGAUUGACCUGAGCAUUUGUCGUAACCUCUUUAGCGCAGAUUGCAAAGAGAAGGGUGUUUCUCGACUGUUCAACAUGACUACGUGCAGGGCUCAUUGUGCAUAUGAUAGCUGUUCUCGCAUUUCCUCCCAAAGAGUUCUGAAGGAUCCGAGUUAGCUUUGAGUCUCGAUACGAUAAAGUCUGAGAAGCUCGUUCACUUCCAGCCAGAUCAAUGAAGCACUUGAGAGGCAAAGAAUCAAAAACACAUUUCAGCAGAAAAAGAAAAAGGAAAUGCAUCGUUUAGCAUAGCGAGAAUGAAAAGUCAGAAUCGAAGAAAAAAGGAUGGAUUAACUGAGUACGUACCAGCCGGAGUAUUUGAUGUGAUCUAGAGCUAACUUCAUUCAGGGAGGUCUCUCCAAUCUUCCUCUGAGCUGCAACAACACUGAUACAUUAGUUAACAUUCAACUAAAUUCAUAUAUAUGUAAGCCCGGCGUGUUACUCACUUUCACAGACUGUAAGAAGUUCCUCCAGAUGUGAUCUGUCUCGGAUGGUCUCCUCAAUAAGUUUCUCAACGACGGUCCCUCUCUGGUGAAGCAAGCGGAUGGAAAUGAGUGGGGUCUAACAAAAUAUGAUAGAGAGUAUAGCAUAAUAUCGAAAAACAAGUGAUGUGUACCUCUGGAUCAUCGAGAAGCCUCAGUUGAUUAUUAUCCCCACUUAGGAGAUCCCUCACAGCUUCAUUGUAAAUCUCAAUUGCAGAGAAUUUCAGAGUGAAUUUGCGAUCUGUAUGCUGAAGAAAAUGAAAAAGAAGAGUGGUUGUUUGGUACUUAUGAAGGAAGAAAUAAGAGACAGAGAGAGAAAGAGAUGUCGAUGCUGCAGAGUUUUUGUUCAAACCUUUUGAAUGUAACAAAAAAUGUCGUCCAUUGCAAAUUUAGUGAUGCCACA